AAGAAAUCAGAAAAUAAAAGUACUUUAAAUAUUUAUUGUUUUGAAGGUAGUUAAUAAAAAAAUAAUGCCCAACAUAUGGGAUAGUUUGACACAAAAGUUAGAGUUUAUUAUAUUGGUUGCAGUGAAAUAUGAUGAUUUCCCAGUAAGAUAAACUUAUUUUAUGUUCAUUUAUAUACAUGAAUUGUGCUGAUAGACUCCAUUGAACAAUAGCACAAAUGUAUAUGUACAGCAUGUUGUUUGCAUGUGAAAUACAAAAGAAGUUGUGGUUUGAUUGCCAAUGGAACAGCUUGUUACAAGAGACCAAAUGACACAAAAACAUUAAACAACAAGGUUACUGUAUGGUCUUCAACAAUGCACUAACCCCUUACCACAUAGUCAGGCAUAAAAAGCCCAGAGAUGAUAAAUGUAAAACAGUUCAAACAAGAAAACUAACAGCGUAAUUUAUGUACUAUAGUCAGAUCAACACAGAUUAAAAAGGGUACAUGUUAGUAGGUAAGAGGUCAUAUAACAUUGGCCCUAGGCUAUACUAUUGUGUAGCUCACUAUUCACAUCAACAGAAUUCCUUGUUGAUAGUUGGAGUGAUAAACCAGAGAUAAGAAGAUGUGGAAUGAGUGCAAAUAAGACAACUCUCUAUCCAAGUCACAUAGUCCAUCAUAGCUGCAUGACUAUGUGAAAUGUCCACUAAUCUUUUCUAUGGGAGCAGUUAUUUAGUAACAUUCUCAUACAUCUAUCUAUGGGGUCAGUUAUUUAGUAACAUUCUCAUAUAUCUAUCUAUGGGGACAUUGUCAGUUAUUUAGUAACAUUCUCAUACAUCUAUCUAUGGGGGUAUUGUCAGUUAUUUAGUAACAUUCUCAUACAUCUAUCUAUGGGGGUAUUGUCAAGUUAUUUAGUAACAUUCUAAUACAUCUUUUCUAUGGGGACAUUGUCAGUUAUUUAGUAACAUUCUCAUACAUCUAUCUAUGGGGGUAUUGUCAGUUAUUUAGUAACAUUCCAUACAAGUCUAUCUUUGGGGGCUUUCAGUUAUUUAGUACAUUUCUCAUAAUUUCUAUGGGGGACAUUGUCAGUUAUUUUAGUAACAUUCUCAUACAUCUAUCUAUCGGGGGGUAUUGUCAAGUUAUUUAGUAUUCCUCAUACAUCUUUUUAUGGGGAAUUGGUCAUUAUAAGUAACAUUUCAACAAUCUAUCAAUGGGGACAUUGUCAGUUAUUUAGUAACAUUCUCAUACAUCUAUCUAUGGGGGGUAUUGUCAAGUUAUUUAGUAUCAUUCUCAUACAUCUUUUCUAUGGGGACAUUGUCAGUUAUUUAAUAACAUUCUCAUACAUCUAUCUAUAGGGGUAUUGUCAGUUAUUUAGUAAUAUUCUCAUACAUCUAUCUAUGAGGACAUUGUCAGUUAUUUAGUAACAUUCUCAUACAUCUAUCUAUGGGGACAUUGUCAGUUUUU
rnacentral:lncRNA from 1 species